rnacentral:misc_RNA from 1 species
GAAAUGCGAUAAGUAGUGUGAAUUGCAGAAUUCAGUGAAUCAUCGAAUCUUUGAACGCACAUUGCGCCCCUUGGUAUUCCAUGGGGCAUGCCUGUUCGAGCGUCAUUUGUACCCUCAAGCUCUGCUUGGUGUUGGGUGUUUGUCCCGUCUCCGCGCGUGGACUCGCCCCAAAGUGAUUGGCAGCCGGCGUACUGGUCCCGGAGCGCAGUACAUGUCGCGCAAACGAGUGCCUUGGUACGGCGGCGUCCAUAAGCCCCUCUCUCACGCUCUUGACCUCGGAUCAGGUAGGGAUACCCGCUGAACUUAAGC